rnacentral:rRNA from 1 species
UACGUAGGGGGCAAGCGUUGUCCGGAAUCAUUGGGCGUAAAGCGCGCGUAGGCGGCCCGAUCAGUCCGCUGUAAAAGUCCAGGGCUCAACCCUGGAAAGCCGGUGGAUACUGUCGGGCUAGAGUCCGGAAGAGGAGAGUGGAAUUCCUGGUGUAGCGGUGAAAUGCGCAGAUAUCAGGAAGAACACCCGUGGCGAAGGCGGCUCUCUGGGACGGUACUGACGCUGAGACGCGAAAGCGUGGGGAGCGAACAGG